rnacentral:misc_RNA from 1 species
AAUCAAACCACCUCUCAGAGUCUGAUGAUGUACACCAUCAAAAACAUUUGAGAUCCAUCAUAUAUUGACCAAUAGCAUGUAUGAGGCACCAUUAAACAUUUGACUACAAGCAAAGAAAUCAAGUUCACAACUCUAAUAAAAAACUCUAAGCAAGUCUAAAAUUAUAUCAUUACUAGCAAUUUCAACAAAACAAAACAGAACAGCCAUCCAUAUCCAAAAAUUGAUCAUUCAAGUAAAAUACUCCUGUAAGCAUCAAGAAAUUCUAGAUUUCUGGUACACAACUCCAAAAUGAAAGUACUCCUUAAAAGAUGCGUUGUGGCGCCCCCAUGGUAGUCUUGAGGUGUAGGCACUUAACCUGAUAUCCAAGAGAAAAUUAAUAUUUUUUUCUCAAAAAAAAAAAUAUAUAUAACACAUGAUAGAACCUAUACUAUUGACGACAAGAAAAGUUUGUACUUUGUGAUAAUACAAUGGACUGAAAAGGGAGAAGAAAAAAAUAACCAAUGUAGAUCAUGCAACUGGUAUUUAGCCAACAAAGCAAAGAAAAAGCUAAAAGAGUCAUUAGCACUCACAUUCUGCCAGUUUUUCUUCAACAAAGAAACUAGGAAAUUGACACUCAUUUGCACAUUUUGGAACACCUGCUUCUCCUCCAUAGCACAGUUCCCAACAGCCACUCCCAUGCAAAGCACUUUCUUCAACUGGAACUUCACUGUUGCUUUUGUUUCAUUCACUUUAGACUCUAGGGACUCUUGGUGGGUGACAAGGGUAGGGAACUUCCCUGCCUUGUUGAGACCAGGGCCCAGAAGACGAGGAAUCUGCUUGAUGACAGAUUCUGAAGCCAAAAACGCAUGGUACUGCUUGGCGAGUUUCUUGACCAAUUUCUUGUUCUUGUUUAGUUUCUUCAAUGCUUCCACAUCCAUCCACUGCAAACCUAUUCCCUCUGCCUCCUCAACAUGCUGAGCAUCACCAAGCAUGCAAAUUUUCAUUUUGGGCCGGGGAAUAUGUGGCAGCUUCACCGAGCCACUGAAACGCUUAUCCUUCUGGGGAUCGUAAUUCUUGAGCCCAAUUUGGAGCUCAAUUGUCUCAGUGAAGUUCCGCUUCUUCUCUUUGGAUGCAGUCAUAAUAGUAGAAAUGGCCUCUCUCAAUGCCUCACUCUGAAGCUUACUCAUGAUUGGAAGCUUUCAAGAAAGGAUCCUACAGGUUUCUUUCCUGAGCAAAUGAAGAAAGCCCUAGCUACAAGGAAGAAUGCGGCUAAGGAUAGGGAUUUAUCAAAAAUAAGUGUUAGCGUGUUAAGCUGUCGAUCAACCCUAGCUACCUCGUUCUGUGAUC